GUGCUCGCUGCAGCAGCACAUAUACUAAAAUUGGAACGAUACAGAGAAGAUUAGCAUGGCCUCUGCACAAGGAUGACGUGCAAAGUUAUGAGGUGGUCCAUGCUUUU
ensembl:snRNA U6 U6 spliceosomal RNA